rnacentral:rRNA from 1 species
AGUGAACGCUGGCGGUAGGCCUAACACAUGCAAGUCGAACGGCAGCACAGUAAGAGCUUGCUCUUACGGGUGGCGAGUGGCGGACGGGUGAGGAAUACAUCGGAAUCUACUUUUUCGUGGGGGAUAACGUAGGGAAACUUACGCUAAUACCGCAUACGACCUACGGGUGAAAGCAGGGGAUCUUCGGACCUUGCGCGAUUGAAUGAGCCGAUGUCGGAUUAGCUAGUUGGCGGGGUAAAGGCCCACCAAGGCGACGAUCCGUAGCUGGUCUGAGAGGAUGAGAAGCGACACGGGAAAUGAGACACGGGAGAGACUCAUACGGGAGGCAGCAGUGGGGAGUAGUGGACGAGGGGCGCGAGGUUGAACCAGCCUUACCGCGUGAGAGAAGAAGGCCUUCGGGUUGUAAAGCUGUUUUGUCGGGAAAGAAAAGAAGAAGGCAAAAACACCGCUGUCCUGACGGUACCAAAAGAAUAAGCAACGGCUAAUUUCGUG